GAAACCAACAGGGAUUGCCCUAGUAACGGCGAGUGAAGCGGCAACAGCUCAAAUUUGAAAUCUGGCGCAAGCCCGAGUUGUAAUUUGUAGAGGAUGCUUCGAGGCAGCGGCCGGUCUAAGUUCCUUGGAACAGGACGUCAUAGAGGGUGAGAAUCCCGUAUGCGACCGGUUGGCACCUCAUACGUAGCUCCUUCGACGAGUCGAGUAGUUUGGGAAUGCUGCUCUAAAUGGGAGGUAAAUUUCUUCUAAAGCUAAAUACCGGCCAGAGACCGAUAGCGCACAAGUAGAGUGAUCGAAAGAUGAAAAGCACUUUGGAAAGAGAGUUAAAAAGCACGUGAAAUUGUUGAAAGGGAAGCGCAUGCAACCAGACUUGUCGGCGGUGUUCCGCCGGUCUUCUGACCGGUCUACUCGCCGUCGGCAGGCCAGCAUCACUUGGGGCCGCCGGAUAAAGGCCCGGGAAUGUAGCUCCUCGGAGUGUUAUAGCCCGGCGCACAAUACGGCGCGUCCCGAGUGAGGUCCGCGCUUCGGCUAGGAUGCUGGCGUAAUGGUUGUUUGCGGCCCGUCUUGAAACACGGACCAAGGAGUCUAACAUCUAUGCGAGUGUUCGGGUGUCAAACCCCUACGCGUAAUGAAAGUGAACGGAGGUGGGAACCGCAAGGUGCACCAUCGACCGAUCCUGAUGUCUUCGGAUGGAUUUGAGUAAGAGCAUAGCUGUUGGGACCCGAAAGAUGGUGAACUAUGCCUGAAUAGGGUGAAGCCAGAGGAAACUCUGGUGGAGGCUCGCAGCGGUUCUGACGUGCAAAUCGAUCGUCAAAUUUGGGUAUAGGGGCGAAAGACUAAUCGAACCAUCUAGUAGCUGGUUCCUGCCG
rnacentral:rRNA from 1 species